UUUUAAAAUAUAAGAUUGAGCUUGAAGAUCUAGUGUAAUAUGUUGAAAUCAAGUUAGUGAGAUUAGUUGGAGCAAAGAAAAAUGAUCUUACAGAUUGGGGUAUUGCGGCUGCUGACAAUAAUCAUGUUCAAAUUUUAUGAGGGAUUAAGAAGACGGGCAUAGCCCUUAUUUCUGAACUCAAGCUGAUGUCAAUAUAGGUUCUAAGAUCUUAAUUGGUCUGAACUAGGUUUAGUUCAUCCAUAUUCUCUAGUCAAGCAAACAAAGAAGAAGAAAAUGGUAUCACUGUUUUUAGAUUUUGAUAUAAAUACUAGAGGCGCAGAGAUAAAAAAAGUUUGUCUCCAAUGUA